rnacentral:rRNA from 1 species
CUUGGUCAUUUAGAGGAAGUAAAAGUCGUAACAAGGUUUCCGUAGGUGAACCCGCGGAAGGAUCAUUCAUAAUAAGUGUUUUAUGGCACUUUUUUAAAUCCAUAUCCACCUUGUGUGCAAUGUCAGGGUUGGUCUCUUGAAAAAGAGAUCAGCCCCAAACAUCAACCCAAUCUUAACUCUUUGUCUGAAAAAUAUUAUGAAUAAAACAAUUCAAAAUACAACUUUCAACAACGGAUCUCUUGGCUCUCGCAUCGAUGAAGAACGCAGCGAAAUGCGAUACGUAAUGUGAAUUGCAGAAUUCAGUGAAUCAUCGAAUCUUUGAACGCAUAUUGCGCUCUUUGGUAUUCCGAAGAGCAUGCUUGUUUGAGUAUCAGUAAACACCUCAAAGCCUUUUUUUGUUAAGAGGCCUUGGACUUGAGCAAUCCCAACACUUUUCCUCCAAGAAAAGUGGCGGGUUGCUUGAAAUGCAGGUGCAGCUGGACAUUCUCUUGAGCUAAAAGCAUAUUCAUUUAGUCCCGUCAAACGGAUUAUUACUUUUGCUGCAGCUAACAUAAAGGGAGUUUGACCAUUUUGGCUGACUGAUGCAGGAUUUUCACAAGAGUCUUCAAAAGCUUUUGUUAAACUCGAUCUCAAAUCAAGUAAGACUACCCGCUGAACUUAAGCAUAUCAAUAAGCGGAGGA